UUCUUUAUUAUUCUGAUUAUAAAGUAGUCCCAGCUACUCGGGGGGCUGAGGAGGGAGGAUCGCUUGAGCCCAGGAGUUCUGGGCUGUCGUGUGCUAUGCUGAUCGGGUGUCCGCACUAACUUCAGCAUCAAUAUGGUGAUCUCCUGGGAGCGGGGGACCACCAGGUUGCCUAAGGAGGGGUGAACUGGCCCAGGUCGUAAGUGGAGCAGGUCAAAACUCCCCUGCUGACCAGUAGUGGGGUCACACCUGUGAAUAGCCACUGCACUCCAGCCUGGGCAACAUAGCCAGACCCCGUCUCU
rnacentral:SRP_RNA from 1 species